rnacentral:rRNA from 1 species
CAGCCGCCGCGGUAAUACGAAGGGGGCUAGCGUUGUUCGGAAUUACUGGGCGUAAAGCGCACGUAGGCGGAUCUUUAAGUCAGAGGUGAAAUCCCAAGGCUCAACCUCGGAACUGCCUUUGAUACUGGGGAUCUUGAGUCCGGAAGAGGUGAGUGGAAUUCCCAGUGUAGAGGUGAAAUUCGUAGAUAUUGGGAAGAACACCAGUGGCGAAGGCGGCUCACUGGACCGACACUGACGCUGAGGCGCGAAAGCGUGGGGAGCAAACAGGAUUAGAUACCCGCGUAGUCCCUGUCUCUUAUAC